AUUGGCAUGAAGUCUAGGCCUCGGUGUCACAGCUGACUCGGCCAGUUGUUAAAAGUGGACUCAAGCCAGUUCUCGAGUUUUCUAGAGGAAGCUUCCAGAGAAAUGGACCAGCUCAACAGGAACAGGUUGGAUAUGUAGCUCUCUUUGUAGUGGCUCAGACGCCCUGCUGCCUCUAUCCUCUCGUUGGCGUGAUGGCUGUUUUUCUCUGUGCCCCCUCCUCAACCUCCAGAUGCCACAACAAGAAAGAGACAGCUGCUCGUGUGUGUACAAAAGAUGGAAACUAUCCUAACGCACCAUAAAUCAACUCUUGUGGCCAUUUUGUGGAACACGCAGUAUUUUGGGGACACUUCAUCAAGCACACUUUCUUUUUUGUUCACGUCUUCAUUGAGUUUGCAGUUCAUUCACAUCAUUUGAGCAUUCAUAAUGUUGCUGACAACUGCAUUGUGUGAGCCGAAGCUAAAUUUAGAGUGUUAAUUAACCAAGCGCUCACUCCUGCUCUGGUUGUUCUUGCAGUUUGAUUUGUUUGUGUCACCCGGAGCAGACGCCUCCCUCAUACUCUGCCAGUGAUCUUGUGGUAUUAAAUAUCUGGAAGUGUGUAAUGUAAAUGUAUCCAAGAAUGUGCAUAGAUUAUUCUUGUCAUAUGCGGACUAAGUAUCGCUGAUUAAAUUUAAGACAAAUUGUCACAGUCUUCCCUCUUUUAUGAACUAAAGAUGUUUAUUUUUGUUCUUUUAAUGUGGCAUGCUGAUUAAUUGUUGCCUAGCAACUCUGUUUCCUAGCUAUCCUUUGUCCCAUCACAGAUUGUCGGCUAGCCCUAACCCAACCAAAAUACCAGUGCCACAGUUUGAUAUUUGUUGAACUUGUGUAAAUAUUUGUGUCAAUGGAAAAAAAAAAAAGUGUGGCAUGAAUUCAUCCAAGGCAGCAGGACCACAGUCCCAGUCUCAGCCUCACACACAGUGGUGGACGGAUCAGCACUGUUGCCUCACAGUUUGAAUGACAAAGCUCUGUGAUGGACUGGUAACCUGUCCAUCCGGCCUUAUCACAGCUUGGAUAGAUUCCAGCACCCAGCUACCCUGAAUUGGGACUACAAUAAGCUACAAGAUGUGCUUUGUCACUACAUGAUGUCUGUUUCUCCCAGGAGAUACCAAACAGACCGAGCAAUGUCUGUCUCCAUCUCUGUGUGCAUGUUUGCAGCAUCUGUUCCAUCACUGCUGGUUUACUGGUUGAUGAAUAAACAAACAGUUACCAGAUUUGUCUUGGCUGUG